rnacentral:lncRNA from 1 species
AUUUUUAAUGGUUAUUUUUGUUCUAGAUCCAGCUCUUUACCUAUCCACACAAAAAACAAUAGAAGGGGAAGAUCUCUGAUAGACAAGUGGAAUAAAAAGGCAGCAGGUGCUGCAAUAUCAUCACUGGAAGAAAUCUCUCAUUCUUACAUCACAGGAAAUCCUCUGAAGUAUAUUCUCUAGCCACAUUUCUUCCGUGAAAUGGUUUACUGUAGAGUUAUACAACCUGCAUUAGCAAAAGGAGGAAAGACAGCCUGGAGUAUUCAGCAAAAUAAAGCUCUUGAACACAUUUCUUGUAAGGUAGAUGUAACAUACCAGAAUGUGUAUGACAGAAAAUAA